GAACAUGUGAAGCAGUUGAGAUGUUGCACCACUCCUUCUCUCUGUGUAAGCAAUAUCCAGAGUUCAAACCAUUCCUACAAGAAAUAAGAACAUUGAUUAAACCAUAGUAAUGAAGCCGCGACACCGCCGUCUCCACCUCCUCUGCUGCCACCACCCUUUUGGCGUCAACACCUCCAUCUAUCAUCUCGGAUUAUACACACGUACAUCUCACUUCAGACAAAAAUUAAUCAAGUUAAACAAUAGAGCAAAAGAGAAAAACUCUAAUACCAUGAAAAUUAUUAAUUAAAAUGUAUACCAAUUGUUUCUUUGGGCUUAAUGUACACCUACAGCUUUAAAAGCUUACAUGGACAACGUCAUAUCAGUAAUUAAACACCCUAAUUAACAUCAAGAACCAUACAAAGAAGAAAAGAAAGAUGGUUCCUUGAGAAGUUAAAUGUUCUUACUGAUUUCACUGUUGACGGUGUCCAUCUAGGCUUUUCAAAGUUGUUUCUUGAUGGUGUAUGUGUCCUCUUUCUCUCGAUUUGUGACUCUAGCUAUCUUCAGUUGCUGGGUCGUGAUAUGGAUAUCAUGUAAGGGUUAUUGAGGGAGCAAUUGAGGUACAUAUAUAUUAACAUUUCACGGUAAAAAAAGAAAAAAGAAGAGAUCCUUACGAAGGAGAGAGGGAGAGACAGAGUAUUAAUAUCUAAUGAAAUUUGCUGAAGCUAAUCAACGCAAUAUAAGAAAAGAUCAACUAAAAAUAGAAAAAAAGACACAGCCUAGGGUUCUUAUGACUUCAAAAACCCUGGACAAUUCUUAGGACUUAGUUUUCAAGCAUCAUGUCAUCCUUGCCAAGUCCCUCCAGAAACAUGAUACAUCAUGGUAAAAAUCUGUCUUCUCAUCUAUCUCACUUUAAUUUUAUUCCAUUUUUCUCUCUAUCUCUCUUCAAUUUUUCUAAUUCUUGAUCUAUGUUAUUGAUUCAACGGCUGGACCCUCAGAAUCAGUUAAUGUUUCUUGCUUCACCUCACUCACACCCCUCUCAAGAAUAGUUUCUCUGCCUUGCAUGCCAAGACUAACCCUCUUGGACUCACCUUGGCCACCCUCAGAACCCCAGCAAUUCAUCACCAUAAAAUCCAAUACAAUGAUCGAGGCCGUGAUACGUACCUUGUAACCGCACCCAACGACCAUGAAUCGAUUAUCAACUUUUCCUUUCACACCAUGCAGCCGUGAGGAAAUUC
rnacentral:lncRNA from 1 species